rnacentral:rRNA from 1 species
GACGAACGCUGGCGGCGUGCUUAACACAUGCAAGUCGAACGGAAAGGCCCUGCUUUUGUGGGGUGCUCGAGUGGCGAACGGGUGAGUAACACGUGAGUAACCUGCCCUUGACUUUGGGAUAACUUCAGGAAACUGGGGCUAAUACCGGAUAGGAGCUCCUGCUGCAUGGUGGGGGUUGGAAAGUUUCGGUGGUUGGGGAUGGACUCGCGGCUUAUCAGCUUGUUGGUGGGGUAGUGGCUUACCAAGGCUUUGACGGGUAGCCGGCCUGAGAGGGUGACCGGCCACAUUGGGACUGGGAUACGGCCCAGACUCCUACGGGAGGCAGCAGUGGGGAAUAUUGCACAAUGGGCGGAAGCCUGAUGCAGCAACGCCGCGUGCGGGAUGACGGCCUUCGGGUUGUAAACCGCUUUCGCCUGUGACGAAGCGUGAGUGACGGUAAUGGGUAAAGAAGCACCGGCUAACUACGUG